UACGGAGGGUGCAAGCGUUGUCCGGAUUUAUUGGGUUUAAAGGGUGCGUAGGCGGCUUGGUAAGUCCGUGGUGAAAGCCAACAGCUCAACUGUUGAACUGCCAUGGAUACUGCCAGGCUUGAGUACAGACGAGGUAGGCGGAAUGGAUAGUGUAGCGGUGAAAUGCAUAGAUACUAUCCAGAACUCCGAUUGCGAAGGCAGCUUACUAGGCUGUAACUGACGCUGAGGCACGAAAGCGUGGGGAGCGAACAGG
rnacentral:rRNA from 1 species